rnacentral:rRNA from 1 species
GAUGAACGCUGGCGGCGUGCCUAAUACAUGCAAGUCGAGCGAACAGACGAGGAGCUUGCUCCUCUGACGUUAGCGGCGGACGGGUGAGUAACACGUGGAUAACCUACCUAUAAGACUGGGAUAACUUCGGGAAACCGUAGCUAAUACCGGAUAAUAUAUUGAACCGCAUGGUUCAAUAGUGAAAGACGGUUUUGCUGUCACUUAUAGAUGGAUCCGCGCCGCAUUAGCUAGUUGGUAAGGUAACGGCUUACCAAGGCAACGAUGCAUAGCCGACCUGAGAGGGUGAUCGGCCACACUGGAACUGAGACACGGUCCAGACUCCUACGGGAGGCAGCAGUAGGGAAUCUUCCGCAAUGGGCGAAAGCCUGACGGAGCAACGCCGCGUGAGUGAUGAAGGUCUUCGGAUCGUAAAACUCUGUUAUUAGGGAAGAACAAAUGUGUAAGUAACUAUGCACGUCUUGACGGUACCUAAUCAGAAAGCCACGGCUAACUACGUG